rnacentral:tRNA from 2 species
GGAGGGUACGCGAACGGCUAGCAGCCACAUUGGAAUUGUGGUGCCCAGCAAUGGGUUGUGGGUUCGAGUCCCAUGCCCUCCG